GCGCCCCUAUCUCCGCCCAUCCGGCCGCCACGUGGCAGCCAUGCGAGGGCCUCGGGGUAACGC
rfam:Oryza meridionalis cultivar OR44 (W2112) chromosome 2, whole genome shotgun sequence.